rnacentral:rRNA from 1 species
CGUAGCGCACAGCUCAGUAACACGUGGCUAACCUGCCCUUGGGACAGAGACACCCCGGGAAACUGGGGCUAAUCCCUGAUAGGUGAAGAACUCUGGAAUGAGUCUUCACCCAAAAGACGCCUAGGCCACGCUUCUAGGCGCCGCCCAAGGAUGGGUCUGCGGCCUAUCAGGUUGUAGUGGGUGUAACGUACCUACUAGCCUACGACGGGUAAGGGUUGUGAGAGCAAGAGUCCUGAGAUGGAUUCUGAGACAUGAAUCCAGGCCCUACGGGGUGCAGCAGGCGCGAAAACUUUACACUGCUAGAAAUAGCGAUAAGGGGACCCCGAGUGCCAUACCUAGUACGGCUGUCCCGCUGUCCAAACAACAGUGGUUACAAGGGCCGGGCAAGACCGGUGCCAGCCGCCGCGGUAACACCGGCGGCCCGAGUGGUAGCCGUUAUUAUUGGGUUUAAAGGGUCCGUAGCCGGCCUGUUAAGUCUCUUGGGAAAUCUGGCGGCUUAAUCGUCAGGCUCCAAGAGAUACUGACAGGCUUGGGACCGGGAGAGGUGGGAGGUACUCCAGGGGUAGGGGUGAAAUCUCGUAAUCCUUGGGGGACCACCGAUGGCGAAGGCAUCCCACCAGAACGGGUCCGACGGUGAGGGACGAAAGCUGGGGGCACGAACCGGAUUAGAUACCCGGGUAGUCCCAGCUGUAAACGAUGCUCGCUAGGUGUCAGGUGCGGUGCGACCGCAUCUGGUGCCGCAGUGAAAACUUGAAGCGAGUCACCUGGGAAGUAAGUCGCAAGGCUGAACUUAAAGCCCA